rnacentral:rRNA from 1 species
CAGGUGGUCAGGUAGAGAAUACCAAGGCGCUUGAGAGAACUCGGGUGAAGGAACUAGGCAAAAUGGUGCCGUAACUUCGGGAGAAGGCACGCUGGUGUGUAGGUGAAGUCCCUGCGGAUGGAGCUGAGACCAGUCGAAGAUACCAGCUGGCUGCAACUGUUUAUUAAAAACACAGCACUGUGCAAACACGAAAGUGGACGUAUACGGUGUGACGCCUGCCCGGUGCCGGAAGGUUAAUUGAUGGGGUUAUCCGUAAGGAGAAGCUCUUGAUCGAAGCCCCGGUAAACGGCGGCCGUAACUAUAACGGUCCUAAGGUAGCGAAAUUCCUUGUCGGGUAAGUUCCGACCUGCACGAAUGGCGUAAUGAUGGCCAGGCUGUCUCCACCCGAGACUCAGUGAAAUUGAACUCGCUGUGAAGAUGCAGUGUACCCGCGGCAAGACGGAAAGACCCCGUGAACCUUUACUAUAGCUUGACACUGAACAUUGAGCCUUGAUGUGUAGGAUAGGUGGGAGGCUUUGAAGCGUGGACGCCAGUCUGCGUGGAGCCAACCUUGAAAUACCACCCUUUAAUGUUUGAUGUUCUAACGUUGGCCCCUGACCGGGGUUGCGGACAGUGUCUGGUGGGUAGUUUGACUGGGGCGGUCUCCUCCCAAAGCGUAACGGAGGAGCACGAAGGUUAGCUAAUCCUGGUCGGACAUCAGGAGGUUAGUGCAAUGGCAUAAGCUAGCUUGACUGCGAGCGUGACGGCGCGAGCAGGUGCGAAAGCAGGUCAUAGUGAUCCGGUGGUUCUGAAUGGAAGGGCCAUCGCUCAACGGAUAAAAGGUACUCCGGGGAUAACAGGCUGAUACCGCCCAAGAGUUCAUAUCGACGGCGGUGUUUGGCACCUCGAUGUCGGCUCAUCACAUCCUGGGGCUGAAGUAGGUCCCAAGGGUAUGGCUGUUCGCCAUUUAAAGUGGUACGCGAGCUGGGUUUAGAACGUCGUGAGACAGUUCGGUCCCUAUCUGCCGUGGGCGCUGGAGAAUUGAGGGGGGCUGCUCCUAGUACGAGAGGACCGGAGUGGACGCAUCACUGGUGUUCGGGUUGUCAUGCCAAUGGCACUGCCCGGUAGCUAAAUGCGGAAGAGAUAAGUGCUGAAAGCAUCUAAGCACGAAACUUGCCCCGAGAUGAGUUCUCCCUGAGACUUUAAGUCUCCUGAAGGAACGUUGAAGACGACGACGUUGAUAGGCCGGGUGUGUAAGCGCAGCGAUGCGUUGAGCUAACCGGUACUAAUGAACCGUGAGGCUUAACCUU